ACAUCACUAAUGAGGACGCUGUAUACGACAUCACUAAUAAGGAUGCUGUAUAUGACAUCGCUAAUGAGGACACUGUACAAGACAUCUGUAAAAAAGAUGCUGCUGCCAACGAGCCAUCAACACUGGAGAGUGAUCUGUUUUUGGAGAGCAUAUCCGAUGAUGGGGAUUUGUAGGCACUUACUUCAACCUGGAGACAAAGUUCUCCUGGUGUGUGCCCAGGGGUGCAGGAGAAAUUGACAGUCGGCCUCUGAACUUGUAGGACUUUAAAAAGCACUUAUGUUUCCAUCCUCACUGUUGACUCCUGGCUUAAAGGGAGCUCCCGGGGUGAGUGAGGAGGCGGGAUCGGACCCUGGCAAUCUGACAACACCUGUGUUCCUCUGCAAUGGGCCAUGGAUGACAUUACACACCUUUGUGAGAAUCAGGAAUUACUCACCUUUGUGAGAAUCUGCAUCUGGAAUUGAGAUGGGCCUUGAUUUUACUACCCUAUUGAAAGAAACCAUUUGUUUCUCACCCCAGCAGGAUAAAUGGUUUCGGUAUCCACUUAACUGCUCAUUGACUCUUACUGUAGAUGAGGAGGUGGCCAGCAGCCCCUGCCUUCCCCCAGUUGUAGGCCCAAGGUAACCAGCAAUUGACUGGAUAUAAUGGAAGAGUGGUGCAUUCGGAGGUAUCUGUAUUAAUGGGACCCACAUGAUAUGGGUGAGAGCUAUUAGGGUGAGAAAAAACCUGGGAGCACAAUGAAAUAUUUAAAUAUUAAACAAAACAUUAUUGAAAUCUCCAUUGUACUUUAGUAGUUGAAGUUAUUCUUGUGGUCAUCACUGCCUUUCCCAAGCAUAACAAGCUACUUAAUAUCACACAGACCCGUGCCAUGAGGAAUGAUGAUCAGUUUGUAAAAUGCCAAUAAAACAAUUGCCUAUAUAAGCCACAAUAUUUCAUCCAUAUAUUUCAAUUUCUAUGUGUAAAUAUAGUUCAAAUGUCAGAAAUUUAUUAUUAUCUAAUAGAAUAUGCAUGAUAUAUCAAUGAGCGGUUAUCAUACUGUUUCUAUUAAUAAUUAUUUGUAUGAUGAAAAAAGCAGACUCCUAUUCAUGGAUUUUUCUUCAGUUUGCACACAUUAGCAUGACAGCCCCAUGUCCACCUGACAUGUGCCAGCAGGAGGCCAGGAACAGAGGCUUUUCUUAUUAACUAAGAUUUCUAAAUGUAUUACAUACUCACGUUUAGAAACUCUAAAUAUCAUAAAAGGUUAGCAAGGAAGUUUCCCUUCCACUCUGAACUUCCAAACACCAAGUCAACACUUUUGUUUGCAUAUCAUCCCUGCAAUCUAUGUGCAAAUAGAAACAUGCACCUGGAAUGCAUGCUGAUGCGUGAUCGUGUUUACACAAAGUCCUCUGCCCCUCUGCAUAUAUCACUGGGCAAUGCACCUUAGUUAUCAUUCCACAUUUCAAAUGUAAAUCCAUUGUAUUGUUUCAGAGCUAUAAAGUACUGCACCCUAUGACUAUUCCCAAAAUUACUUAAGCACCCCGCUAUGGGUAUCCAUUUGUUCUGUUUCCAGUCUUGCUCUUAUAACCAAUGCUGUAGUGAACAGCACUAUGUUGAGUAGAAGUGGUGAAUGUGGGCAUCUUUGUCUUGUUCCGGUCCUCAGGGGGAAUGCUUUCAACUUUUCCCCCAUUCAGAAUAAUGUUGGCUGUGGGUUUGUCAUAGAUAGCUUUUAUUAUCUUAAGGUAUGUCCGUUCUAUGCUGAUUUUGAUGAAUGGUUUUAAUCAUAAAGAAGUGCUGGAUUUUGUCAAAUGCUUUUUCUGCA